GAUGAACGCUGGCGGCGUGCUUAACACAUGCAAGUCGAACGAAGCACUUUAUUUGAUUUCCUUCGGGACUGAUUAUUUUGUGACUGAGUGGCGGACGGGUGAGUAACGCGUGGGUAACCUGCCUUGUACAGGGGGAUAACAGUUGGAAACGGCUGCUAAUACCGCAUAAGCGCACAGCAUCGCAUGAUGCAGUGUGAAAAACUCCGGUGGUAUAAGAUGGACCCGCGUUGGAUUAGCUAGUUGGUGAGGUAACGGCCCACCAAGGCGACGAUCCAUAGCCGACCUGGGAGGGUGACCGGCCACAUUGGGACUGAGACACGGCCCAAACUCCUACGGGAGGCAGCAGUGGGGAAUAUUGCACAAUGGGCGAAAGCCUGAUGCAGCGACGCCGCGUGAGCGAAGAAGUAUUUCGGUAUGUAAAGCUCUAUCAGCAGGGAAGAUAAUGACGGUACCUGACUAAGAAGCACCGGCUAAAUACGUG
rnacentral:rRNA from 1 species